AGAAAGGCGAGUCAAUGGCACAGGAGACAUCCUGCAUCUGCCAGUCCAUACAGGGCUGGGUGUGGUGGCACACUCUGAGCACAGAAGACAGAAGCAAGAGGAGGAUCUUUGAAGCUCCGAGGCCAGCCUCCACUACAAGGCCCAGCCACCAGAACUGCAUUCUCUCAACAAACGAACAAACACAUUGGGAGUGGAGUGACCCAUUGAGUCCAGUUAGUGCCGCUCGUAUGCUUGUGGUGGUGGGGACUGUCCACUGAACCCAGGAGGAUCCAGACCCCUGAAACAAACGGACUCUGUGUCUCCCAGCAGCCUUCAACUGCCCGCAGCUCCCCUGCUAAGAGUGAGGCCUCAUGAGCCCACCCCUCAGCCAUAAUGGAUUCUGACUGGCUUGAGUUUCUACUUGAUUUUAGUUGAUAAUGUUGUUUUGUUCUUAUUA